rnacentral:rRNA from 1 species
GACGAACGCUGGCGGCGUGCUUAACACAUGUAAGUCGAACGGUAAGGCCCUUCGGGGUACACGAGUGGCGAACGGGUGAGUAACACGUGGGUGAUCUGCCCUGCACUUCGGGAUAAGCCUGGGAAACUGGGUCUAAUACCGGAUAGGACCACUGCCUGCAUGGGUGGUGGUGGAAAGCUUUUGCGGUGUGGGAUGGGCCCGCGGCCUAUCAGCUUGGUGGUGGGGUGAUGGCCUACCAAGGCGACGACGGGUAGCCGGCCUGAGAGGGUGACCGGCCACACUGGGACUGAGAUACGGCCCAGACUCCUACGGGAGGCAGCAGUGGGGAAUAUUGCACAAUGGGCGCAGGCCUGAUGCAGCGACGCCGCGUGAGGGAUGACGGCCUUCGGGUUGUAAACCUCUUUCAGCACAGACGAAGCGCAAGUGACGGUAUGUGCAGAAGAAGGACCGGCCAACUACGUGCCAGCAGCCGCAGUAA